rnacentral:lncRNA from 1 species
CCUUGUAGGGUAAUGUAAUUGACGUGGUCAUCAUAAUACCGUGCUUGGAUCAUGUUAGCUUUGAAGGGCUGAUUAUCGACCGGGUGAACAAUGACCGAUUUGCCGUCCCAAAAAAUGAGCACUUGAUAUAAUGACGAAGGAAUACAGCUGGUUUGAUGAAUCCAGUCUCAACCGAGCAAUGCAUUAUACUCGGUUUUGGAGUCGAUGAUGAAAAAAGUGGUCAUGUGAUUACGGCCGG